rnacentral:rRNA from 1 species
GCCCAUAAUAACACCUCUAUUUUUUUUUCGGCCGCCAAUUCUCCCUUGUGCCGGCCCGCGGGGGAAUUCCCGCUCCCAUGCCCUCUAUUAAAGUUGUUGGAGCUCAAAAAGCCGGCGUUCGCCCCUGGGCCUGGGUGGCCGGGCCGCCUCACCCCGGGUACUGGUCCGGCCGGGCCUUUCCUUCUCGGGAGCCGGGUGGCCUUCCCUGGGGGUGGGCGGGAGCCGGGACUUUUACUUUAAAAAAAUUAGAGUGUUCAAAGAAGGCCUUUCCUCCAAUACUUUAACAGGGAAUAGUAUAAUAGGACGUGUGGUUCUAUUUUGUUGGUUUCUAGAACCACGGUAAUGAUUAAUGAUGGAGUCGGGGGCAUCCGCUUCUUAUGCCAGAGGAGAAGUUCUUGGAUUUAUUGGAGACGAAUUACUGGUACACCAUUUCCCAAAAAUGUUUUCUUUAUUCAGUGAACCGAACUUAGGGGAUCGGACAAGAACACAUAUCCUCGUACACUUAAACAUCAACUAUGCCCACUGAGGGCGGACGAUGUUAUUAUUUUGACUCUUUCCCCUCCUCACCAGACAUCCCAGUGCUUCAGUUCUGUUGGGAGUAUGGGCGCGGGCUGAGGCUUUAAGAAUUAUGACAGAGCACACCCCCAUCCGUGCAGCCUGCUGCUUCUGAUUCUACUCACCACGAAGCUCCUCGAGUCGCACCAAUACGAUGGAAGAUGACAGUCUCGUGAUGUGCUGGUGGGGUGCAUGGCCGUGCUGCUGGCGGUAGCGAUUUGUCUCGUCAUACGGAUACGAAAUACAUAGCACGAUACACUAGCCGAGCAUCAAGCAUGCGACUCGAGCUUCUGAAUGCGAGCAAUCGCUGACAUCCAAUGCUAGUCAUAGCGCAAUAACAGAUUGGUAUCAUG